UAGCCUUGACAUAUUUUAGAACUCCGUAGAGAUACAGAGGUGCCUUCGGGAGCUAAUAUACAGGUGCUGCACGGCUGUCGUCAGCUCGUGUCGUGAGAUGUUGGGUUAAGUCCCGCAACGAGCGCAACCCUCGUCACUAGUUACUAACGGUUCGGCCGAGGACUCUAGUGAGACUGCCUUCGUAAGGAGGAGGAAGGUGAGGACGACGUCAAGUCAUCAUGGCCCUUACGGCUAGGGCAACACACGUGCUACAAUGGCCAGGACAGUGAGACGCGAUACCGUGAGGUGGAGCAAAUCUAUAAACCUGGUCUCAGUUCGGAUUGUAGUCUGCAACUCGACUACAUGAAGCUGGAAUCACUAGUAAUCGUAGAUCAUCUAUGCUACGGUGAAUACGUUCCCGGGUCU
rnacentral:rRNA from 1 species